UACGUAGGGGGCAAGCGUUGUCCGGAUUUAUUGGGCGUAAAGAGCGUGUAGGCGGCCAGGUAGGUCCGUUGUGAAAACUCGAGGCUCAACCUCGAGACGUCGAUGGAAACCAUCUGGCUAGAGUCCGGAAGAGGAGAGUGGAAUUCCUGGUGUAGCGGUGAAAUGCGCAGAUAUCAGGAAGAACACCUAUGGCGAAGGCAGCUCUCUGGGACGGUACUGACGCUGGAGACGCGAAAGCGUGGGGAGCGAACAGG
rnacentral:rRNA from 1 species